ensembl:lncRNA LINC01664 long intergenic non-protein coding RNA 1664
GGUGCGGGGGGACUCCCAUGGAGCGCGGACUCCUAAGGAAGUCGCUGGGAAUCCCACCGGCUGUACCGCAGGGCGUUAGUACCUAGAUGGCUUCGGUGCCCCCAAGCGAUGGGCUCAAGCUACAGGGCGGGCUUUGCACCUGGCCUUCUCAGCUCUGAGGCAGGCAGUGGGCAGCUUCGCCUCCACCCUCCGUCCAGCGCCCUUCCCAUGGGGCCAUCCGCCUCUCCCUAAGGCACUAAAAACCAGUGGAGGAGUCAGGCCAUGUUGGCAAAAAGGGCUCGGGCAGCAGCCCCAGACCUAUAGUCCUAAAUAUCCAUGUACCCAGCCCUGGGGUCGCGAGCCAUCUCAGGGACGACCCGAUUCCAGCGGAUGGAGAAGUUCCCUGAAAACACCUGCCUGGGAGGAGAGACGAGGGAACGAGAUUGGGCAAGUGGCAUCCGCCCAGCGGGCUUCUCAAAGGUUUUUAAAGCAGAAUGGGACGUAAUAGGAAGAUGUGUCUAGCAGAGAGUAAAAUAAAGGGGCAUUUAGAGGUGUGGGCACCUGGAUGAAAACAAAGGCUCCAAAGGGAUGAUGGUGAGGGUUACAGCCCACCACAGUAGACAGAGACACCAAGGAAGGAAUGCAGUCAGUGGCCCUGCGUAGACAGUCUCAGGAGAGAGCACACCAGCUCACCCCAGGACUCAUCCAAGGCUGGGGAUGGAUGUCGAUGCAGCAACUCUGGAAGGCAGAAGACAGUGCUUUACCAUGGAACUGAAACCAUGAAAAGUGAAACUGCAAAUGGGAGAGACUGCUGUAUAGUCACUGAAAAAUUAAUGGAUGAGCUCAACAGCAAAUUAGACACAACUGAAGUGAGUAAAUUUAACAAUAUAUAUGAAGACAUUCUCUAGAAUGUAGUACAGAGAGCUAGAGACUGAAAAUAUCUAGGAGACAAGAGACAUGAGAGAUAGAUUGGAAUAUCCAAAAUAUGUCUAACAGAAGCUCCAGAAGGAGAAUAUAAAACAAUAAGGGAAGGACAAUACAGAAAUUUGAACUGAGAAUUUUCCAAAAUUGGUGAAAGAACUUCUCCAACCCACAGAUUUAGGAAUUGCAAUGAAUCCUAAACAGGAUGAAUAAAAAUAAA